GCCCAGGGCUGGGUCUGUGGGAACCGUCAGGUAAAUGUACUGCGGGUGGAUGGCUUGCUUCAUAAUGAGGGAAAACAACCCUGGGUUGGGUUUAAAGUAAGUCUGCCCUUGUUCCAACCCCCUCUAACCCUGCUACCAUGCCUUAUUCCAAAUGCAGUUCCCAUGAAGUCUGUGCAUUUCCCCCACACUCCGCAGGUGUGCAUUGGAAUGUAUCUAUGAGCACUCAGGCCCAGUCUGCCCCAGGAGGCAAGGAACACUCUAGAAAGCUCAGUGAUUUGUUUAGAAUGGAAUUUCUCAACACAACACUGUUGGCAUUUAGGGCUGGGUUAUCCUUUCUUGGGCGGGGGGUGGUGGGGUGGUGGGUGCUAUCCUGUGCAAUGAAGGAUGUUUAGCAGUACCCCUGGUCUCUACCCACUAGAUGCCAGUAGCAUGCCACCCCCCGAGUUGUGACAACCCCAGACCUCCCCAGACACUGUCAAACGUCCCCUAGGAGGCAACAUCACUCCCAUUGAGAAACACAGUGGGAGAGAAGCUGGCAGCUCCUCACCAAGGACCCCGUCAGCCUUGGUUUCUGCUCUAACUUGUGGAUCUUACACAAAGCACAGACACGAGUCUUACAUUCUCCGUUUUCUUUUCCAGGACUUUCCCCAGGCUGAGCCUCAGAGCGGCCACCUCUCAGGGGUGUUUGCAUCUGGCCGUCUGCAGGGCAGUUCACCAGGCUCAGCAAUGACAAGGCUUCGAGUCGCCAGCAGAUGGCGCAAAAGUCCUUCCCAGGCCUCUCUGGUUGCUGCUUUCUUCUCUGCGACCUGAGUUACUCUGAGAAUCUGAUGCUGAAAGGCGCUUUAGUGCCCUGGUUCUGAACUGUGGGGCCGGCGUUGGAUUUUGCCUCCCAGGGAACCUAUGAGACAUUGGAUUGUCACAGUUGAGAGGCUGAUACUGCCACCUAGUGGGCAGAGACCAGAGACACGGCUGAACACCUUAGGGUGCACGGGACAGCCUCCCCGACCAGGAAUGAUCCAGCCCAGAAUGUCAACUGUGCCGAGGUUGAGAAGCCCCAGUUUAUAGAUGAGUAAACUGAGGACACCGAGGGAGAGUUUAAUUGUGUGGGUGGCUUCCCAGCAUGGUUAUGGGAUGUGGUGAUAAGAUGAGGUGAAAACUGUGAUGAGGGUUUAUAAGCACUUAUGCUUGAGGGCAGAGGGUCUGAUUUCUUUGUCUCUCUCCCUGCAUCCACAGAAGUUCUCAGGAAAAGUUGGCUGAACUGGACUGAAUCAGCCCCUCCACAUCUGAAGAUGGGCAAUAGCUAUAGCUGCAUUUUGACACUGCCUCCUGAUCAGAUACUAACGCUGCCCAGAGCACUGGGUUGAGAAGUGCCAUACUCAGCAGAUAAGAGUCCUAGAAUCAACUAGUCAUGUCUGCUAAGAGUGCAGAACCAGAUAAUCAGAAAUUCAGCCUUUUUUGCUGAUCCCAGAAUAAAUGAUCAGAAGCCUGGGAGCAAAAGAUUCUGUUAAAGAAGACUUUUCUUAUAAAUCAUAAGCCCUCUGAAUUGAUUUACUGUAAAACAGGUAAACAAAUAUCAAGAUGCAUUUAGGGAGAGGGUGGGAUGAUUUGGGAGAAUGGCAUUCUAACAUGUAUA
rnacentral:lncRNA from 1 species